GAAAUCGAAAGGGAUAAAAGAUCACAUAUAGUCUUACUUGAUCUCUUGGCAUAAAUGAUGGGCCUAUAAAUGUGUGAUAGAAAUCGAAAGGGAUAAAAGAUCACAUAUAGUCUUACUUGAUCUCUUGGCAUAAAUGAUGGGCCUAUAAAUGUGUGAUAGAAAUCGAAAGGGAUAAAAGAUCACAUAUAGUCUUACUUGAUCACGAUAAAUGAUGGGCCUAUAAUUUGUGAUGGAAAUGGAAAGGGAAAAAACGAUCACGUAUGACUAUGGUCCACUUAAUCUUUCUAAUAAAGAAGAUGCCGAAAUCGGUGACAGUAGUCUGUCUUGUGCACUUUUGGCUUGCUAAAUUUGUUUGGACAAGUUGAGGCUAUUUGUAGUCAAUCACUAUAGCCGCUGUGAUUUUCUUGUGAAUUUCGUAUUUGGUGCUACUUCUUCUGCUUAUCGAUCAGUUUCACUAUAUGUACUUAUUUACUUUGGCCCUGCAUCGAGAUUGGAGAUAUAUUUUUUGAAUGAGAACUUACAAAAUGUUUUUUUUUUCUCUCGAUUUUGUUACUGCAUUAGGAUAUGUAUUUUUUUUUUAUCUCUCUAAUCUAACCCUUCAUUUGGGGGAACAGGGUAAAAUUGAAAAUGUACAGAGCGCAUAAAAGCUUCUUGACACCCAUUCUUAUAUCAUGUAUUGGUCAAUAAAUCAAAUAUUUAAUUAAAACAUACUAUGCACUAAGUUACUACGGAGUAUGUCUUAAAAACAUUCUUAAAAGUGAACUAAAAUAAAACAAGUAUUGCAAUAAUAAGUUUGUUUAUCUUUCAGAGGAAAAAUUGCCUCGACGCAAAAUUUAACAAUUUUUUUCUUCUAGUUUUAAUAACUUUUAAUUAGUACAAUCGAAAAAGGUUUUCCAUAACAUUUGAGAGUUUAACAUCUAUGCGCACUCAAGAGAGCUAGAUUCUAGAUAUUAUUUUAACAUAAUACUCCCUCCGACUCUAUUUGUUUUUCUUGGUUUGACUUUUUUUGUCUCACAUAAAGAUUCAAAACAAGAAGAACAAAAAGAGACAGAGGGAGUACUCAUUUUAUUUUGAGGUUCUAUAUUAUAGUUACUAGUAUUAUAACAUGUUAUUAGAUAUUUUUUUUGACCAUAUAAAGGAGUCUAUUACUCCCUCCUUCUUUUAAAGUUAGUUCUCUUUUCGUAUUGAGUUGUUUUUUUGUUAGCCCCUUUUGAUUAUUUGUCCAACUUUUAUCCCUAUUAUACCAUAAUUAUAAAUAUCAAAAUAUCUCACUUUUUAUUCCCAAUAAAACUUUAACCUCAUUAAACCACUUAGUUAUUUCUCUCUCUUACCUACAUGAGUUGGAUUCUAUUGAGAUUCAUAUGACAAAUGUACUUAUAUUGGAUUAUCUUAGAUUCCAAAAGGGGCUAACAUUCAACAAUAGAGUGAGUAGUACUCAUUAAAUCAAUUAUCAAAAAGAAUAUUUUAGUUUGUGUUCAAAAUUGUAUCUAAAAUCGCAUAUCUUUAAAAACAUGAACCUCAAUUAUUUUAAAAGUUUUCGUAGGAGUACUUUGAUCUAUUCUAUAGUUUAAAAGUUUUUAAAUUUUCAAAUAAGAUUCUAACAAAAAAGUACACACAAAUCUGUUGUGUAAUAUGGUAAUGAAAAUAGCAUGUAAUAUAUUAGUGAUGUUGCAAUAUGUUGUAAGUGUUAGAGCGCGUUACUUUCAAUUCAUUCGUCAAAACGUUUUGCUCGCACAAUGUGUACAAUAAAUUUAUUGUACACCAUGAUAACUUUUACCAAGUUUUUUGUAACUUUUAACUAAUGUUUUUGUAACUUUUUAAUAUGUUUUGAUUAAGUUUUAUAUAAUUCGUAUAUUAUAAGAAAAAAAAUGAUAGACAAACAUUUUACAUGGCUUUAAUUUAUACAAUAUUAGUGAUGUUUGAAGAAAUAACUUUUAUUAAAGCGAAAAAAUUUAUCACUACAAAAUUAAUAAUUUUUACUUAUAUAAGGGUAGGUUAACUUGUAAGAAUUUUGAGUUAACUUUUAUGUGUACAGUAUUUAUUGUACAUCACUUACAAAUAAGAAUUUGUGUUCUUUUAUUGUUAAUUUGUUACAAUAAGCAAUAUUUUUUAUUUUUUUUAAAAAAGACCUUCUAGAUUUCAAAUUUAUAUAAACUUCCUCCAUCUUAGAUUAGUUGUUACAAUUACCUUUACACAAAUAAGCAAUAUUUUUUUUUUAAAAAAAAAGACCUUUUAGAUUUCAAAUUCAUAUAAACUUCCUCCAUCUCAAAUUAGUUGUUACAAUUACCUUUGCACAAAGCUUUAGGUGAUAAGUGGUUGUUUGAUUAUCAAUUAUUAUUUUAUUAGAAAAGUAGAUGUGAUAGGAGUUAGUGGAGUAUUUUUUAAUUGAAUGAGAGAGGGUGCGGGGAUAAAAAAAAUUAGUGGGAAGAAAGAGACAAUAUAAUAAUUGUGGGAUCAUUCCUUAUUUAGAAGUGUAACAACUGAUUUGGGACGGAUGAAAAAAGAAAGUGUAACAAUUAAUCUGAGACGGAGGGAGUACUUAAUAUUUGAAAUUUUUAUCGUGCAAUUGCACAUUUGCACGGAUACUAUAAUAAUAAUAAUAAUAAUCAUAAUAAUAAUAAUAAUGUUGUUCGUGAUGCCGUGUCUUGUGCUGGGAUCGUGGGUAUCAAACAUCGACAUAAUGUUGUUCGUGAUACCCUUUUGGAUAUUUGCUAUCGGUCGGGGAUUUCUGCUCGAAAGGAGGUUGAUGUUGGGCUGACUAGUGAGAGUGAUGGAGCUCUUCGUCCUGCAGAUAUAUUGCUUUAUUCUUGGGAUGGCGGUGUAGAUGUGUGUGUUGACUUGACUGGGUCUUCACCUAUGACGCAAUCUGGGUUGUCAGACUUCGUUCCGGGUCGGGUUGUGGCGGUUGCUGCGCAGCGGAAGCAGGUUAAGUAUGCGGCACGUUGUAGGGCUUUGGGUUACGGUUUCUUUCCUUUUUCCUUCUCUUCUUUUGGGGAGUUAGAGAAAGGGGCUGUUUCGUUGCUGAAGCGGGUCCAGACGUACUCCAGGGCUCAAGACAUAGGGGCACGGGCAGCUGCCCACAUUUUCAGCAGGAUCGGGUUCGCCAUAGCUAGAGGAGUGGGGGCCCAGAUUGUAUCUCGGCUCCCCACCAACUUCUUGUAGUUUACUUGAUCUUUGUAGCUUGUUAAGCUUGUAACGUUUUGGUGGUUUCCCAUAAUAAUAAUAAUAAUAAUAAUAAUAAUAAUAAUAAUAAUAAUAAUAAUAAUAAUAAAGAUGAACAUUACAAUAGUAAUAAUUAACAUUAUAAUAUAAAAUAAGAUCAUUAAAGAAUAAGAUGGACGCAAUACCGUUCUUUUGAACUGAACUGAAUAGAACUGAACUGGACUGAAUAGAGCUGAAAUAAACUGAAAUGAAUGAAAUUGCAAUUAAGCCAAAAAAACAUGGUCUAAAUAUUAAAAUAUAUAUAACAAAUUCAAGGAGACAACCAAAAAACGUUAAAAAUUAAAACACAUAAUCGUCAUCAUACAUCAUCAUCCGAACCACAUAUUUUUUUUAAAGGGUUAAUUAAGAUGAACGUAGCGCAAUUAAUGACUUAAUAAGUAACGAAAUAACUAAAAAAAAAUGAUGUCGACCAUAUACGAUCAAAUAUUCGUAUAGAUUUUUACGUGAUCAGGAUCAGGUGUUGAUACUUGAUAGUGAAUAAAAAGUGGACCACGUACAGCACCACACUAAUCAUACCGAGUAUGUUCAUGCAAUGUGUCACGUGUGCUUUAAUUUGAAAAGUCUAAAACGAAUGUUUUCGGAAGCUGCUACAUGCUAGAGCUGUCAAAAAUUGACCCGACCCGAAAACCCGACCUGAACCGACCGAACCCGUAAUCGACCAUGACCCGAAAUUACGGUAAAACAGGUAACCCGAAACCUGACCUGUACCCGACCCGAAAAAACCGAUAACCAAUUUUAACCCGAUGUUGUAACACCCGAACCCGAACCCGACAUCCGACCCGAAAAUGACCGAUAACCGAACUGACCCGACCGAACAAUGACCCGAACCCGAUUUGAUACCCGACCCGAUGUCAACCCGAAACCGAUUGUAACUCGAUGAAACCUGCUAUAGACCCGACCUGUGAGAACCCGCUACUCGAUUUACCCGAGUUAUCAAUGACACGACCAAAUAUUAACUUCAUUGAUAUAUCUAUUUUAAUUAUUUAUUGCUAAAUAUUGAAAAAUUUAACUCUAAAAUAAGUUAAACAAAAAUUUUUAGAAUAUAAAAUCCUUAAAAUGUAUAGGUUAAUUAUCAGACCCGAGUUUGACCCGUCCCUGAGAGUGACCCGAUCUGAAUUCUAUUUGAUCUGGUUAUUAUCCGAUCCAAACUAAGAUCCGAACCCGAAAAUAACUGUGUUGCAAACCGACUUAAACCCGACUCGAUAAGACCCGAACCCGAAAUUAUCUGCUACAAAUCGACUUAAACCCGACCCGAUAAGACCCUAACCCGAAAUCAAACCUGACCGAAAUGUGACCCGACUCGAACCCGACCUGAACCCGGGAUAGGAAAAAACCCAAUAUGACCCGACCUGAAAUCGACCCGACCGAACCCGAACUCAACCCGAAUGAAAUAUUAACCCGAUACGACCCGGCCUGAUCAUGACCCGAAACCCGAGAUGACCCGACCCAAACCCGACCCGAUGACCUGUUUUGACAGCUCUACUACAUGCCUACAUAUACCCUCAGGCCUCAGGGUAUCAACUAUCAAAUAGUAACAUAUCCUUUACUUUUAUCGGUUGUUUUCACGUAAGCUACCUCAUAUGAGAUUAAAAUUUAAAUCUAAAAAAUAGCAACCUCAUAUGAAAUUUAAAACUUUAGACCAAUCAUAACCAAGGAUAUCAUACCCUUAGGAUAUAUGUAGUCUUUUCGAAUGUUUUCAGUUUCGCAACCAGCUAAAGGUUUUGCUUGUCCUCAGGUUAAAUGAUUUACUAAAAUAUAAUUUGUAAAUUUGA